AUGAACUUCAUGUAUAAAGAGGAGUAUCCGUUAGAGAAGCGUGGCUCUGAGGGCUAGAAAAUCUGAAAGAAAUACCCGGACUGGGUCCCGGUGAUAGUAGAAAAGGCUCCCAAAGUUCGGAUAGGAGACCUGGACAAAAAGAUAUACCUGGUGCCUUCUGAUCAUACAGUUGGUCAGUUCUACUUCUUGAUCGGGAAGCAAAUUCAUCUCUGAGCUGAGGAUGCCUUGUUUUUCUUUGUCAACAAUGUCAUUCCACCCACCAGUGCCACUAUGGGUCAGCCCUACCAGGAACACCAUGAAGAAGACUUCUUUCUGUACAUUGCCUACAGUGAUGAAAGUGUCUACGGCCUGUGAAGUUGCUGCCCCUAAGGUGAGGUGGUCCCAUUCUACAAAGAGAGAGGGGGCCCCCUUCCUUGACCUACUCCUCCUUGAGGCUCAAACACCGACUCUCUUCCUCAGGACCUGCACUUCAUAAUGUUUGAGACUCUCCUCCAACCCCUCUUAACAAGAGGAUUACUGGGGGAUUGUCCUCUAGUACCUUUCCUUUCUCCUUUCUUCCCCUUUCUCUACCACCUUUCCCAUUCUGCUUUAGACUUCUUGAUUGUCAAUCUCUGUCACAUCCAGUGAUUGUUUUGCUUUCUGUUCCCUUUCUAACUGCCCAAGGGGCUCAGAACCCCAACAAUCCCGUUUCACUACCUUCUUUUUGGGGGGUAAAUGGAAGGGACUGAAACUGUGGGAGGAAGGUAGAAGGCACAUCAAUAAAGAGGAAAGCACCAA